GAAAUGCGAUAAGUAAUGUGAAUUGCAGAAUUCAGCGAAUCAUCGAAUCUUUGAACACACCUUGCGCUCCUUGGUAUUCCUUGGAGCAUGCCUGUUUGAGUAUCAUGAAAUCUUCAAAGUAAAUCUUUUGUUAACUCAAUUGGUUUCUACUUUGGUAUUGGAGGUCUUUGCAGCUUCACACCUGCUCCUCUUUGUUCAUUAGCUGGAUCUCAGUGUUAUGCUUGGUUCCACUCGGCGUGAUAAGUUAUCUAUCGCUGAGGACACUGUAAAAGGUGGCCAAGGUAAAUGCAGAUGAACCGCUUCUAAUAGUCCAUUGACUUGGACAAUACUUUUAUGAUCUGAUCUCAAAUCAGGUAGGACUACCCGCUGAACUUAAGC
rnacentral:misc_RNA from 1 species